ACCCCGCCCUCCUCCUGGGCCUGAGUCACCCCAGCCCUCAGAGCCUGCCACCCUGGCCCUCAGAAGGAAGGUGAAGUUGUGGUGUCCUGGGGCCCCAGCCACAGGCCCAGGCUAUUAGUUCUGCUAGGACAGCACAGGAGGCCAUGUGGGGGAAUCAGCUUCAGAUCACCCACCAUAAUGUGGGUGGGCCGCAUCCAAUCAGUUGAAGGCCUUCAGAGCACAGGCUGAGCUCCGCCCCCAAGGAAGAGGGAAUCCUGCCUGCCGAUGGCCUCAGUCUGGAGCAGCAAGUUGGCUCUUCCCUGGUGUCCAGGCUGCAGGCCCCAGACUCACAGCCCCCAUGACGGAAAGAAGGAUGCCAGCCCGGUUGUGGCAUGAGUCACUGCAGACACAGACACAGCGCCAAGUGCUCUCCUACAGCUCUGGAAGCCAGAAGUCCUUAGCCAGCCUCGCUGGGUUAACACAGACGUGUCGCAGGGCUGGUUCCUGCUGGAGGCUCCCGGGAGGUGCCCGCAUUCCUGGGCUCGGCCUCUUCCUCCACCCUCACAGCCGGGCGCCGCGCUUGGUCCCUCUGCUCUGACCCUCCUGCCUCCCCCUGAGAAGCACCCACCCAGGGGAUCCAUGAUAAUCCUGGUCUCAAGGUCAUCGAGCCCUUUGCCCCAUCAGGUCACAUAUGCACAGGCUUGGGGGACUGGGAUGUAGAUGGCUUUCGGGGGGCACUAUUCCACCCACACAUACUGUCACUUGUCAAAAUGGAGAACAUCAGGUGCAAAGUGGCUCAGUUUGGGGCCCAGAGAGUGUAUGCAGCUGGUGGGCUGGACCUGCAGGGAGGGGUGUCCCUGAGGGCCUUGGACAUGAAGGGCAAGGUCAGAGCAAGGCCAGGGGAGGGACAGUUGUGGGAGUAGACUGACGGGGAUGAGGGGCUGGCAGGGGCACAUGCAUGAAAGCUGGGGCAAAGGUCCAGGUAAGAGGAGGGGCAGGGGCCUGAAUCCUGGAGCCCACUGCAUCUGAGUGGUCUGUGAUGGGGUUUGGGGCAAGAGGAUGGAUACCCUGAGGAAGCCUGAGCUGAGGGGCUGGAGAUGGGAUGGGUAGGUGGCUGGACUUGGGGAGAUGGAGCAGGGCUAUGAGAAGAUGGGCCA